rnacentral:misc_RNA from 1 species
AAGAGAAUUAUAAUAUAUAUGGAAAGGACAGAUGAACAACACGGUUUUGUUAUAUGGUAGACGAAAUUAAUCGUUUUUGUAACAAGUUCAUGAUGAAUAGUAAUUAAUGUAACUUCUAUGAUGUGCACCAAAUAAGUAAAAAAUGGACAGUCGUAAAGCGAUUCUUUGGCUAACUGAAACAGUCGCUAUCAGUAGCGAUGAUAGUGAUACGAGCAGUUGGAGCGAUGUAUGUACGGACAAAUUAGAAUCGUCGGACGAUGAAAACGAAGUCGACGAUGAAGACAGACUCUUUUUUCCUCUUAUGCAAUACCUAAUAAGACUAAGAAGAAAGCGAGUUGACGAUUACUUACACAUUAUAGAUUCUUGGACAGAUUCAGAGUUUAAAAAUCGUUUAAGACUGUCUAGAAAAACUGCUUACCGGCUUAUUGACGAAUUGGAGAAGUCAGGAUUCAUCGCAUCGCACAAGUUUGGUCUGAAACCUUUAGAACCAAAGUUAUGUUUUUAUAUAUUUUUAUCAUUUAUAGCUAAUACAGAGCCACUUACUCCUAUUGCGACUCGUUUCGACAUAUCAAUAUCUUCAACGUUUCGUGUGAUAAGAAGAGUUGUAGCUUGGAUUCUGACCAAAUUAAACGAAGCAGUAAAAUGGCCCCAAGACUUUAAUGAUAUACAAUGCAUAUGUGAUAUGUUUCACUCUAAAACAGGAAUUCCAAAUAUGUUAGGAGUGAUUGAUUGCACUCAUGUGAGAAUAGAAAAACCAAAAAACGCAAGGGAGUAUUGUAAUCCUAAAGGAUAUUUUUCAAUUAUCUUGCAAGCCACAGUGGAUGCUAACUUGCGUUUUACAAAUAUAUUUUGUGGUGAGCCAGGCUCUUCAAACUGCUCCCGAGUUUUGAAAAAGUCACCACUCUACAAUACUGCAAUGCAAAACAGAAAUGCACUAUUUCCUCAUAAUACUUUUUUAGUAGGUCACUCGGGUUAUCCAUCUUUACCAUGGCUUGUGCCACCAUUUAGAGAGAACAAAAGGUUAACACCACAACAAAGAGAAUACAAUUCUUUACAUGCAUCAACUAGAAAAAUGAGUGACAAGGCUUUUACCAUGUUAAAAGGGAGGUUUAGAAGAAUUAAAUUAUUCACAGUUUAUAGAAAUAUAGCUUUUAUAACAGAUACUAUUGUGGCUGCAUGUAUAUUGCACAACUACUGCCUUAAUGAACAUGAUCAUUUGGAAGAAAUAUGAAAAAUUAUUGUAACUUUGGUUCUACAAAAUGAAGGCUAUUUACCCAUAAGACAGCUUUCUACCCUAUUAUGGUAAAGCAAGGAAGGGUAAUGAAUUGAACCUAAACAUGCCCUUGUUGGUAAGCUAAGCUAAAUCAACCCCACAAAAAUGUAGAAGUGGGCUAGCCUGUUGCCAUUGUCUGUAAAUAGAUGGAUGGUUGAACAUUGUCUGCUGGUUGGAAUGUGUCAGUGUCUAGGUAUAUAUAAUGCCACCUUCUGCACUGACUUGAAAGAGACAGUAGGGAAUAAAUAAAUGGUGUUCAUUUAGGGGGAAGCCUAUGUUUAGUAGUGGACAUUGUUAGGCUGAUUGAUAAAUCAAAGGUUUAAAUAUUGAAGGAAGAACAAUAUUAAUAU